rnacentral:sRNA from 2 species
GCUCCGUGUGCGCCGAGUCCCGCAAGGGAGCCGGGGAACCAACAACUUGGGGUGAAUCGAGCCCAACCGCCGUGGGAGCACGGUCGGUUGACGCGCGUAGGAGACCUUCCCCUCCGAACCCGUCAGCUAACCCGGCAGGCGAUGGAAGGAAAGGAGUG